UCGCUAUGAGGGCUAAUUGAAUCUACCGGCCGCGAAUUCGCCCUUAGAGUUUGAUCCUGGCUCAGAUUGAACGCUGGCGGCAUGCCUUACACAUGCUAGUCGAACAGCAGCGCGGGGCAACCUGGCGGCUAGUGGCGAACGGGUGAGUAAUAUAUCGGAACGCACCCUGGAGUGGGGGAUAACGUAUCCAAAGUUACUCUAAUACCGCAUACGAUCUAAGGAUGAAAGUGGGGGAUCGCGAGACCUCAUGCUCCUGGAGCGGCCAAUAUCUGAUUAGCUAGUUGGUGAGGUAAAGGCUCACCAAGGCAACAAUCAUUACCUGGUCUGAGAGGACGAUCAUCCUCACUGGAACUGAGACACGGCCCAUACUCCUACGGGAGGCAUCAGUGGGGAAUUUUGGACAAUGGGCGCUAGCCUGAUCCAGCAAUGCCUCGUGAGUGAAGAAGGCCUUCCGGUUGUAAAGCUCUUUUGUCUCGGAAUAAACCGCAUGAGCUAAUAUCUCUUGCUGAUGACUGUACCUGAAGAAUAAACACCGGCUAACUACCUGCCAGCAUCGAUCGGUAAUCACGUACGGUGCACGCAUUAAUCGCAAUUACAGGGUGUACAGCGUGCGCUAGCUGUUCUGAUAUUUUGCUCUGAAAUCCCCUGACUUCACGUGAUAAUUGCGAUGAAUACUGACAGGCUAGAAUCUAUUAGA
rnacentral:rRNA from 1 species